rnacentral:tRNA from 1 species
GUUUGUAGCUGUUUUUUGUUUGUUUUAAUACAAUUAAAGAUGUGCCAUUUACACCCCACAAGAAAAAGCAGAAAGAGUCCUUAUGGAAAAAAACAAAUAUAUUGAACACAUACCAAUCAAAUGGUACAGAUACGGGACUGGCUUUGAUUUCAAAAUUUAAGUAGAAAUAAAAAAAGAUGUAAUGCAACAGCUGUUCAAUUUCCAAGUCUAAAUAGGCACUGUAAAAAGACAUUUCAGCUUUCUCCAGCACACAUUCCUGCCUAAACGUUCCCACUGUAAUCAAUUCCUAGGUUCCCAAACAACAACAAAAAAAAUCACUGGGAACAUAACCUUAGAAUAAAAGUUAAUAUCCAUCCACCCACCCUCUUACAAAAAAAGCAAACAAAAAAAAAUUCCCAAGAAGUACAACCUUUCAAUGCUGCUGUUUUGACUGGAGCAGAAUUGGAGAAUUUAUAAAGGUUCAGAAGCACCCAAGGCAAGUAGUACAACGUAAUUUGUUCACUAACUUGUAUUGGAAAGGAGAUUAAAAACAUUGAGAUCUGCAUCUUUGUACAUAAAACUGUUGUCCUGAAUAAAGAGAAAUCUUUCAGAAAAGUUUUACAACUUGGUGGAAGUCCAGGACCCAGCUUUAGGCAUCAUUAAAUCAAUGGGGUUUAAUUCUGACUUAGUUUUAACCACUUUUAUAUACUGUACAUCUACCCUAGUUGGAUCAGUAUCUCAAACUGCUCACUGGUGUCCCUUUGAACAACUGUAAACUAAACCAUAGUAUGCAACUCCAUAGGAAGCUAGAGAUCGGGUGAAUAUACAGCCAGUUAUAUCUCCCCUGCUUCACGCUCCUCUGAGCUCCUUGGGUCUUCUGAUCGGCCAUUAGCACUUUCAUAAGAACGUUUCUUGUCUUUGAAAUCUCGCGGCGAUCUCUCUCUCGGGCUUCUAUCUUUAUCACGUGAUGUUCUAUCACGAUCUCUUGAACGUUCUUUGUCCCGGGAAGAUCUUUCUUUUGAGGACCUCUUUUUGGAGCUGCGCUCUCGGCUCCUCUCCCUGGAGCUGUGCCUGCUUCUAUGAUGGCUGCGACUCCGGCUGCGGCUGUUGGAGCGAGACCUGUGGCGAUGGCGUUUCUCACGGGAUUUAGAGCGAGUUCUUCUUUUCCGUUCCCUGGAGGCUGAGCGAGAGCGAUGUCUGCGACGAUCUCGGGACCUAGAUCUUUUGGUAUGCUUGCUGUGGGAUCUGGACCUCCUUAGUUUCUCCCUUUCUUCUCUUUCCCUCUCCUCUCUGCGUUUCAGGCGCUCCUGAUUUCGUUUCUCUUGUUUAUCAGCCACAAUCCUCCUGAGUUCCUCAAGUUUCUCUCUUAUUUCAAUAAAUCCUAAGUGUAGUUUUCCUCCGAAGUGGUCAGCAAGACGUCGGUCAUUGUCAUGAAGACCAAGAUAAGCCGAACACACUUCACAAACCCGUAGCUUCUGCUGUUGAAAGCUAGAGGCAGGCAUAGAAUUCCUGUACACUUCUUCGGCUUCUCUCUUCUUUACCCGGGCCUUCUCCACUUCAUCCAUUACUUUUUGAGAUUCUUCCACAUUUCCAUCAGCUCCCAGCUGUUCUACUUUGGCCAGUAGUUUCCCAAUUUCUUCAUUCAAUUCAUGAACUCGUUCAGCUUUAGCUGCAACUUCAGCACUGAUCUCUUCUUGGGUUUCUGCUAAUCUCUUCUUAGCAACUUCUGUUCUCCUGUCACAGUCUGCAAUAAAUGACUGCAGGUGGUCCAUUGCAUCAAGUUCAAAGAAGAAGUCUUGAUCUUUGGAUGCUAUUUCAUAGUCUGCCCUUAAUGCCAGGUCAUGCACCUUCAGACAUUCUCCAAGGUCCAUUCUAGUUCCAGAGAGGACAUCAUGAGGGCAGCAGUUGAGGAGGUGACUCUUGCACACUCUGUCAUCACUGAACUUGAUUCGCUGGCGGGUCGUAUCACCGUCCCGGGACGUGCCCAUGAGCUGGUCCAGCAUGGCGCGCAUCUGGGCCUGCGCCGACAUCUUGAGCGUGCGAGGGCGGCCCGGCCCGGCCGAGUCACGCCGACUCCCUGCGGCCUACAAGGCCUGAGGCUCUCGGGCCCCCCCCUCGCGUCACUCGCGGACUCGGGCGGCGACGCCGCCGCCGGGGGCGAAGCGGGCGCUGCCUGUGGCUGUGCCGCGGACGGAGGGCGGAGCGCGAAGCCUGCCCCGCUCCGGACCCGCUGCCGCCGCCUCCCCUCCCCCCGCCUCGCCGCCCGCUUCCUCUCACGCCUGCCACGCGCGCGCGCCAGCGCUAACGGAAACCCGCGCGCACGCGUCGUACACCCCCCUUCACCCGCUCCUCGACGUCAUCGCGGACGGAGCCUUUGGCACCCUCUGAUUGGUCGCCACGCGCGGUGACGCGCGGCGCAGCGCGGCCGCCGAUUGGCCCGGGCGGCUUCUCGCGCGGUGAUUGGGCGGGCGGCUCCGCGCAGGCGCCGUGAGGCACGGGCUCGGCGGGCGGCCCCGAGGGGAGCCCGCCCCGUCAGCGGGUGCGCGGCGUUGGGCCUGGCGGCGGCGGGCGCUUUGUUGUGCCUUCAGCCGCCGUGUUGCCCUCUAGCGCCCGGCUGCAGCCGCCGACUGGUACAGGGACCGACCCAGCUGUGAAUCAGCCGUCCGCAGCCAGGGGACGCGUUACGCUGUCAGACUUAGCUCAGUGCAACCGAAAGAAAAGGCGACACAAAAAGCCGCCCCGCCCCAGUCAGGAUUUAACACGAACUGUGGGGAAGAUGCAAUGAAUCCCCACAGAAGUAGUCCUUAAAAUGCGUUUGUGGAAAAAUUCGUGGCCCGGAGCUCCUCGCGCAGUCUGAACAUGCCCUGGAUCUAUUGUUUCCUUUGUCAGAUUUGGUUUUGGUCGUCAUUAUGGUAUACGGGAGCUGUUGGAUGGGGUGAGUCCUCAAUCCACUCAGAAAGUAAAACAAACCAAAAGCUUUCCCCUGUUCGGCUGGUGAGACUGCAGAACUGCCAAUGCAGUUUAUAGCCUACAAAACCUUAUGGCUUGCAGCGCACAUCUUACCCGACCCACAUCACCCAGAUCUCCCCGGCUACCUGCUGUGCCCAUCUCCUGGGCAUGGGGCUGGGCUGGUGUUAAGGAAAAAGGAUAGCACGUGGAUUUAGGUAGUUGGAUCGAGUGUACCCUCAGCAGUUUGCAGAUGACACCGAGCUGUGUGGUGCGGUUGACACACCUGAGGAUUCUACCGAAGAUAUGCUCGAGCAGUGGGCCCAGGAGAACCUCAUGAGGUUCAACAAUGCCAGGCACGAGGUCUGCACAUGGGUCAUGCCAACCCCCACUACCAAUACAAGCUGGAGGAUAUAAGGAUGGAGCACAGCCUGUGUGAAAAGGACUUGGAAGUAAUGGACAUGAGUCAGCAGUGUGCCCUCACAACGCAGAAAGCUAACCGAAAGCUGCAUCAAAUGGAGUAUGGUCAGCAGGGAGAGAGAGGUGAUCCUGCCCUCUGCUCUGCACUGUGAGACCUCACCUGGAGUGCUGCAGCCAGACAGGGAGUCCUCUUUACGAAGGAGACAUGGACCUGUGGGAACACAUCCAGAGGAGGGCCAUGUAAGUGAUCCAAGGGAUGGAAUGCCUCCCUGUGAGGACAGACUGAGAGAAAUGGGGCUGUUCAGACUGGAGAAGAGAAGGUGCUGAGGAGACCUGAGAGGAGCCUUUCAGAAUCUGACAGGGGGCUGUAAGAAAGAAGGGGACAGACUCUUCAGCAGGGUAGUGGCGCUGGGACAGGUUGCCUGGAGAGGCGGUGGAUGCUCCAUCCCUGCAGACAUUCAACGCGUCAGGGUGGGGGCGCUCUGAGCAACCUGUAGUCGUCCCUGUUCAUUGCAGGGGAUUUGGAUUGGGUGACCUUUAGAAGUUCCUUCCAACUGAAAUUAUUCUGAUUUUAUCAGAUGAAGCCAUUUUGUGUGCAGUGCUUCCUGAUAGCACACUUUGUUUUCCCUGGUAGUAAAGCCAACACAAGCACUCUUUUGUUAGUGUCACUUGAAGCUCCUCCCUAAUUACAAACAAGCCUCACAUUCUUAUCCACUGUAAGUUACCCUGAUUACAGAUUUCUUACACGUAUUGCACAGAAUUCGAGACUCUUCUGAGAAGUGGGCAGCAACAAUUGCAGCUACUAUUUCUCUUCUGAUAAAAAAAUGAUUCACUGUUCCAGAUUGUGAGAAGAGAGAACAGUGGUAUUAUUGUGACUAUAGCUCAUUGUUACAUGAUUUAUACGAGGGCUGCUUGAAAGUAAUGCCUCCUAUUUUACUACGUUGGCCCAUGACGUCAGAGCAGAUGUUGUGGUGGUAUGGCAGGAGAAGUUGUACCUUCCCACAGUAUUCCACUUCAUUUUGUUGCUUUGAGACGGAGGGGCAAGCUGAGAAAAUGGCACCUAACAUGGAAGUGAGCAUGAAGCAAAGAUGUGUCACUGAAUUCCUCCAAGUGGAAAAAAUGGCACCCAGUGACAUUCGCUCAUCUUUGCUGAAUGUUUAUGGAGACCAAACAGUGGAUGUGAGCACCGUGAUGAGGUGAAUGCUGUGCUUCAGCAGAGGCAACAGUGACGUGAAAGACAAGCCAUGUUCCAGAUGGCCAUGCAGACUUUGAUAAGCAUGGCACGCAGGCUGUUCAUUGCUGGCAAAAAUCUAUUGCAUAUGCUUAUGUUGAAAAAUGGUGUUUUACAGCUGAGAAUUUCACAAAGAGUGAAAUCAAACAGUGAUACUCUUUGCAUCUGCUGCAGUUUCCAUGGAAAUAAAUAGGAGGCAGUACUUUUUGCUGCAGCAGUGCUCACCCUCCAACACCCUAAAGACAGGGCCUGACAGGGCCUUUGCUGUUGGAGGAGUACAGAAUUCCUCAUGCAACUCCAGAGUCCUCUUACCUACAAGUUCAGGGAAAGAAAACAAGCAAGUUUAUACCUCCUUAAGCACUCGGUGGCAAGGCCUUUGGCAUGCUUUUCCACAGCAGUCUUUCUCCCCUUGCUUCCUGUUCCAACCCAGCACCGCGGGCACACAGACACACGGGGCAAGGCAGGAGUGCUCGGCACGCAGAGGCAGAGCCCCGGCUGUGGCUCUGACGGCCCCAACCCGAAGCGGACAGAACACACAAGCUACAGGGCAGCUCCAGAGCCGAGGGCGUUUAUUCGGCGCCGAGCAGCGGGCGGCACGGGGCGGCCUCAGCCCUUCCCCCCCGGCUGCCGGGGCAGCCUGAAGCCCACCAACCCCGCCACCUCCUCGGGGGAGCGCUCCCCGCGGCCGUGGUACUCGCGAUGCAGGGCCUGGUGCUGCCGCACGCUGCGCAGCAGGCACAGGUAGGUGGCGGCCUGGAAGUGCAGCUCCUGCUGGGCCCGGCACAGCUUCUCACUGGUCACCCGGUGAGCGCGGAAGGCGGCGAGGACGUGCCGGUAGGCGGCCGUGUCGCGGUAGGCGCGCCCGCUGAUGUGCCGCAGCUCGCGGAGCAGCCCGCGCAACGUCCGCAGCGGAGAGCCCAGCGCCGCCAUCUUCCCGCUCCUCUCCCUCCGCCAAUCAGCCGCCGGCAACCCGCUGCAACGGCCAAUCAGAGAGCGGGCGGCCCGCGCAGUUUUCCGCCCAUCGGCAGAGGUCAAAUGCCGAAGGUCGAGCGCCCCCUCGGCCGUUGGGCGGAGCGACGCGCGCUCAGGGCGUUGAGGGGCGCCGGAGCCGAAGCAGCAGCCGCCGCCCACCCACUGCGUCUGGACGUUGGAUGUCGAAGCGCGUGGUGUGAGCGCUGCGCAACGAAAGCGGCUCAGCCUCAGAUGGUGGGCUUCCGCCUUGUCUGCUGGGCCUACAAGUAGGGUCGCGAAAGCCGCAUUCGGGACGUUAAUUAGAGCAGCUCCCACCCACCAUCUGCUCAGCGUCGAGACGCCCCGCCGCGACCGCACAUCAGAAAACGGAGAGCAAUGCUACAACCAGCGGGAAGGGAGGAAAAAAAGACCACCCCAGAUGGGACUCGAACCCACAAUCCCUGGCUUAGGAGGCCAAUGCCUUAUCCAUUAGGCCACUGGGGCUGCCACGAAAGAAGGGUUUUUCCGGCGCCUACUUGUCCCCUACCUCCUCCCCUCGUCCUAUUAUAGCCAACGUCUGGCGAGCGCUGAUUGGACAGCACCUCCGUCCCCACCUCCCUGCCACGGAGCCUUCUGGGAGCCGUGAGGCCCUCGAACGCGGGCGGGGCACCGCGGUAGAGGUUGUUAUCGUUAAGUGCUGUCGGCCUACGGGAAGUCCUUUACCUGAGUGGUUGGUCGGCUCAAGAAAGCCUGAACUCCCCACUCGAAUUCAUAACGAAGCAAAAUCCCACAAUAAGCCCAGGCCAACAGCCCUUUACGUGGUGCACUUUUCAUCUUUUAUUUUGUGAGAAAUCACAGAGACAGGGCUUAUAUGUACAUUCCUCUUUAUUUAAUACAGCACAGACACGUAACAGAUAAAAAAGAAAACACACUCAUGAAAAAGCCUGUCGCCACCAAGGACAGGGCACAGCUACACCCAACUGUGUAAGGCUCCUACUGCAGAACAGGGCCUGCUGCCUAAACGUGGAUCCCAGAGCAAAACUGCUGCCAAAAAGUCAUCUGCUUUCAGGAAAGCAGAAUGGAGAAGGGGGGGGGAAGAGGGAAAAUCCCUCCAGGAAUAGGCGAAGCAGGCGGCACCUGCAAGGCUUCUUGUAGGACACAAACACCACUACCUGUUUGGACCAAAGCACUAAGAGAAGAAAUGUUCUGCAGCUCUUCUUGCAGAAGCCCCAAAACCCCGACUUCUGAAACCACCACCUGUCUCAGGGAUGGAGACCUGAGCAUCUGGAAGGAGCGAAAACACGGAGCAGUCACAAGAGAUUUAAUUAGUGUCCCUGAUAGGGCUUUGCUCGCCACAGCUGGGAAUGUGCAAGAGAACAAACUGGCUUCCCAAUUAAAAAACUAACAGUCAUUAAACUGACCAGAACUGUACACGUUUGGAACCGAUGCAGGCUUUUGUGGCAGCAGCUUCUUCCUUCUCCCGCUUCAGUUCAGGAUGGAAAUUAAGCAGGCACCAAUUCCUGUGGCAAAGAGCCUUACACAUUUUUUAAAAAAUUAAAAUACAAAAAUGGGAGACAGGUGUAUUUACAAAAUCCAUGGCUGGUACAGUACAUCAUUUUUAAGACACACUAAAUGCUACAAUCUUUCAGGUCCUGAGAUUAUUACCAAAAAAAAAAAAAAAAAAAAAGCAACAACUCAAAACUUGUGUUCAGGUCCAGUUUUAUAAGGAGAGAGGAAGGAAAUCACACAUUUAAAACACAGUAUCCCUUGACGUUAGUGGAACACGCCUCUCUAAAAAUCCAAAAGAAAGUGGUGCUAAUCACCCAACCGUAGCUGCAUUUGGUUGUUCAGGCCUGCGGUCACAAGAGGGGAGCAUUUCACAGGGGAG